rnacentral:lncRNA from 1 species
UGGUACCCCCGGAGGCUGAGGUCCUCCGAGACUCUAUGGUCCGCCAGGACCCCAACGUCAAGCGAGACCUCGCGGUCCUCCGAGACUCUACGGCCAAGCGGGGGUCCGUGGUCCUCCAAGAUUCCGUGGUCCUCCAAGACCCCACGAUCCGUCUGGAGGCGGAGGUCAAGCGAGGGUCCGUGGUCCUCCAACACCCUGUGGUCCUCCGAGGCUCCGCGGUCCUCCGGGACCUCAAUGUCAACCAAGACUCCGUUGUCCUCCAAGACUCCGUGCUCAACCGAGGCUCUGUGGUCCUCCGAGACCCCGUGGCCCAGCUGGAGAGAGAAGUCCUCCAACACCCCGCGCUCCUCCCCGCCCCCGUGACCCCCCCGGAGCCUGACCCCCCCCAGGGCCCCACCGCCGCCCCCGGCCCUGUGACCGACCGACGCUCUGUGACCGCCCAGCGCUCCGUCCCCACGGACCUGGAGGACCACCGCCGCCCCACGGCCCGCGGGGACGCCGAGGGCCACCGGGACUCUAUGGUCAACUGCUGCCCCGCGGAUCAGCUGGAGCUGGAGAACCCCCACGGCUCCACGGCCCCUCUGGGUCUGGAGGUCCCCCAGAACUCUGUGUCCGACUGCUGCCCCACGGCCCCUCUAGGCCCCAAGGCUCGCCCCAACUCUAUGGUUAACUGUGACCCAACGGAACACCUUGACUUGAAGGCCUGCUGUGACUCUAUGGCCAACCACGACCCGACAGCCGCUCUAGGCCUCAAGGUCCUCCAGAGCUCUAUGGUCAACUGCAGCCCCAUGGCCACUCUAGGCCCCAAAGCCCGCCAUGACUCUGUGGUUAACAGUGACCCAAUGGAACACCUUGACUUGCAGGCCCACCACAACUCUAUGGUUAACCACGACCAAACGGCCGCUCUAGGCCCAAAAGCCCACUGUGACUCUAUGGUCAAACGCAGCCCUGUGGCCCCUCUAGUCCCAAAGGCCCACUGUGACUCUAUGGCCAACCGCGACCCGACAGCCGCUCUAGGCCUCAAGGUCCUCCAGAACUCUGUGGUCAACUGCAGACCCAUGGCCACUCUAGGACCCAGUGCCCACCGUGACUCUAUGGUUAACUGUGACCCAAUGGAACACCUUGACUUGAAGGCCCACCACAACUCUAUGGCCAACCCUGACCCGAUGGCCGCUCUAGGCCCCACUGCCCACCGAGACUCUAUGGUCAACUGCAGCCCCAUGGCCGCUCUAGGCCNNNNNNNNNNNNNNNNNNN